GGGAGGGGCAGGUUGACCUGGCUCGUCGUGCCGGUAGCCGUUGAGGUUUUUCUGGCGAACGGGUGAGUAACACGUGAGUAACCUGCCCUUAACUCUGGGAUAAGCCUGGGAAACUGGGUCUAAUACCGGAUAUGACUCCUCAUCGCAUGGUGGGGGGUGGAAAGCUUUUUUGUGGUUUUGGAUGGACUCGCGGCCUAUCAGCUUGUUGGUGAGGUAAUGGCUUACCAAGGCGACAACGGGUAGCCGGCCUGAGAGGGUGACCGGCCACACUGGGACUGAAACACGGCCCAAACUCCUACGGGAGGCAGCAGUGGGGAAUAUUGCACAAUGGGCGCAAGCCUGAUGCAGCGACCCCGCGUGAGGGAUGACGGCCUUCGGGUUGUAAACCUCUUUCAGUAGGGAAGAAGCGAAAGUGACGGUACCUGCAAAAAAAGCGCCGGCUAACUACGUGCCAGCAGCCGCGGUAAUACGUAGGGCGCAAGCGUUAUCCGGAAUUAUUGGGCGUAAAGAGCUCGUAGGCGGUUUGUCGCGUCUGCCGUGAAAGUCCGGGGCUCAACUCCGGAUCUGCGGUGGGUACGGGCAGACUAGAGUGAUGUAGGGGAGACUGGAAUUCCUGGUGUAGCGGUGAAAUGCGCAGAUAUCAGGAGGAACACCGAUGGCGAAGGCAGGUCUCUGGGCAUUAACUGACGCUGAGGAGCGAAAGCAUGGGGGAGCGA
rnacentral:rRNA from 1 species